rnacentral:misc_RNA from 1 species
GCAAACUUGGUCAUUUAGAGGAAGUAAAAGUCGUAACAAGGUCUCCGUUGGUGAACCAGCGGAGGGAUCAUUACUGAGUGUUACAACUCCCUAACCCUUUGUGAAUCUUACCUAUCGUUGCUUCGGCGGGAUCUGCCACGGCGCCCCCGCGGCGCCCGGGCACCCCGCCGGAGGCCCAAAACUCUUGUUUCUCUCAAGUGGUUUUCUCUGAGUGGCACAAGCAAAAUUAAAUUAAAACUUUCAACAACGGAUCUCUUGGUUCUGGCAUCGAUGAAGAACGCAGC